ACCGACUCACCGUGUCACAAAAUGAGUUUAAAAUCUGGCAGGCUUUUUACGGGAGUGUAUUGUGAUCCUUUACAUGUACCCUUUUUUUUCAACAUAACCCUUUUGCCACAUAUACAUUUUUCCAUAUCGAUGAACCUCCUGAACUUAACUCUUCAAAUGUCAUCAUCAUCCCAUUAAGAGCAUUUGAGUCAUCUGCUGAGCAAACAAGAAUUUUAAAUCUGUUCCAAUGUCCUGAUCGUUUUCCAAAAUAAAUGAAAACUGUAUAAGUACAAACAAAAGGGUAUCAAGUUUACCACAACAUCUCAAUCCGCAUGCAGGUCUGAGCAUCACAUUUUUCCACACCGGCACAUCGUCGGCACAUCGCACACCUCCAUAGCAAGACCUUCUAAAAAAUUGAUGACCUAGCCAACCCUGCAUCUAGCGAUGGGAAUGCACCUGGGACCAUGCUCAGUCUCACUCUGCAUCACAGUUUAACAUGAGCAUUUUAUCAAAUAAGCGUUGAUAAAAUUAAAAAUGUGUCUAGGUGAGGAAAAUAAUCGUGGUGCCAUGAAUCCAUAGACACCAUAAAGAAGGCAAAGAGUGUGCCAGAACAAAAUAACCAAGUGGAUGGUUUUCGCUAAAGAUGGAAAGCAGCCAAAUUGAAGAGAGAAAUAAAAGAGGAUUUUGCAAACCUUGCGUUCGUGGCCUCCCACCUGACGAAAGGAAGCUGGGCAAGCCUGCUUGUGGUAGAACGUCCGCCACUCACUACGGCUCCACGUCGGUGUUCCGGUGGUCGAAGAAUUUGCACUCCAGCGGAAGCAGCGGGUCGGGUGCGUUGGCAUGGCUGCGAUAUGAUGGGGUAGGGCAUGUGCGCGAGGCCAGCGGCGUCGUGAACGCGACUGUGCCGCAAGC
rnacentral:lncRNA from 1 species